GACGAACGCUGGCGGCGUGCUUAACACAUGCAAGUCGAACGGAAAGGCCUGCUUUCCCUUGUGGAUUGCGGGUACUCGAGUGGCGAACGGGUGAGUAACACGUGAGUGAUCUGCCCCCAACUUGGGUAUAAGCCUGGGAAACUGGGUCUAAUUCCCGAUAGGACUGCAGGGUGGUGCCUGUGGUGGAAAAUGAUUUUCUAGUGGUUGGGGAUGAGCUAGCGGCCUAUCAGCUUGUUGGUGGGGUAAUGGCCUACCAAGGCGGCGACGGGUAGCAGGCGUGGGAGGGUGGACUGCGAAAUUGGGACUGAGAUACGGCCCAGACUACUACGGGAGGCAGCAGUGGGGAAUAUAGCACGAUGGGCGGAAGCCUGAUGCAGCGACGCCGCGUGGGGGAUGACGGCCUUCGGGUUGCAGACUCCUUUCGACCGCGAGGAAGCCACCUGGUUGGAAGGGUGGUGACGGUAGUGGUAGAAGAAGCACCGGCUAACUACGU
rnacentral:rRNA from 1 species